GGCCUUGUCUGGGUGCCGGGCAUGUUUUCUGGACUUUGGUUUCAGCUGCAUUCCUCACUUCUCAAAGAGGGGGUGUGGAUUUCUGCUAGGAGUAACCACUGGGAAGGAAGUUCAUUAAGUGUGCAGGCAGUGCAGGACCAAGCAUGCUCAGUGCAAAAAGCUUCGCUGCCCUGCCUGUCAAGCCUGGGGUUUGAACUCGGUCCAGAACGCCGGAUUUACUUUUCAGGAAGAAACCCUACCUGCCUGGGCUGCUUUUUUUUUUUCCCCUUCCCUCCUCCUCAGAGGAGCGCAAACAAUGUUCUUUUGAUGCUUUCCUGCGAGUGGGAAUCUCGCCCUGGAGAAGGAGACAAAACUUUGCUACCUGUGAAACGAAGACUGCUUAGGUAGCAAUGGAAAUGAAAGCAAUUCUGUUUGGCCACACAGGUUCCACAAAUGAGUAACUUCAGUGGGAAUUGCUCGUGAAAAAGAGAAAGGAUCACCUGGAUUCUUCUGGAGCUGGGAGUCAGGGCCGGAAAUCUGCAGGAAGGACCUGCCCAAGGAACAAGAGGAGGAUCUCAGCUCUCUGGAGCUCCAG